rnacentral:rRNA from 1 species
GAUGAACGCUGGCGGCGUGCCUAAUACAUGCAAGUCGAGCGAACAGACGAGGAGCUUGCUCCUCUGACGUUAGCGGCGGACGGGUGAGUAACACGUGGAUAACCUACCUAUAACACUGGGAUAACUUCGGGAAACCGGAGCUAAUACCGGAUAAUAUAUUGAACCGCAUGGUUCAAUAGUGAAAGACGGUUUUGCUGUCACUUCUAGAUGGAUCCGCGCCGCAUUAGCUAGUUGGUAAGGUAACGGCUUACCAAGGCAACGAUGCGUAGCCGACCUGAGAGGGGGAUCGGCCACACUGGAACUGAGACACGGUCCAGACUCCUACGGGAGGCAGCAGUAGGGAAUCGGCCGCAAUGGGCGAAAGCCUGACGGAGCAACGCCGCGUGAGUGAUGAAGGUCUUCGGAUCGUAAAACUCUGUUAUUAGGGAAGAACAAAUGUGUAAGUAACUAUGCACGUCUUGACGGUACCUAAUCAGAAAGCCACGGCUAACUACGUG